rnacentral:rRNA from 1 species
CGAAUACCGGAGAAUGUUAUCACGGGAGACACACGGCGGGUGCUAACGUCCGUCGUGAAGAGGGAAACAACCCAGACCGCCAGCUAAGGUCCCAAAGUCAUGGUUAAGUGGGAAAUGAUGUGGGAAGGCCCAGACAGCCAGGAUGUUGGCUUAGAAGCAGCCAUCAUUUAAAGAAAGCGUAAUAGCUCACUGGUCGAGUCGGCCUGCGCGGAAGAUGUAACGGGGCUAAACCAUGCACCGAAGCUGCGGCAGCGACGCUUAUGCGUUGUUGGGUAGGGGAGCGUUCUGUAAGCCUGUGAAGGUGUACUGUGAGGUAUGCUGGAGGUAUCAGAAGUGCGAAUGCUGACAUAAGUAACGAUAAAGCGGGUGAAAAGCCCGCUCGCCGGAAGACCAAGGGUUCCUGUCCAACGUUAAUCGGGGCAGGGUGAGUCGACCCCUAAGGCGAGGCCGAAAGGCGUAGUCGAUGGGAAACAGGUUAAUAUUCCUGUACUUGGUGUUACUGCGAAGGGGGGACGGAGAAGGCUAUGUUGGCCGGGCGACGGUUGUCCCGGUUUAAGCGUGUAGGCUGGUUUUCCAGGCAAAUCCGGAAAAUCAAGGCUGAGGCGUGAUGACGAGGCACUACGGUGCUGAAGCAACAAAUGCCCUGCUUCCAGGAAAAGCCUCUAAGCAUCAGGUAACAUCAAAUCGUACCCCAAACCGACACAGGUGGUCAGGUAGAGAAUACCAAGGCGCUUGAGAGAACUCGGGUGAAGGAACUAGGCAAAAUGGUGCCGUAACUUCGGGAGAAGGCACGCUGAUAUGUAGGUGAAGUCCCUCGCGGAUGGAGCUGAAAUCAGUCGAAGAUACCAGCUGGCUGCAACUGUUUAUUAAAAACACAGCACUGUGCAAACACGAAAGUGGACGUAUACGGUGUGACGCCUGCCCGGUGCCGGAAGGUUAAUUGAUGGGGUUAGCGCAAGCGAAGCUCUUGAUCGAAGCCCCGGUAAACGGCGGCCGUAACUAUAACGGUCCUAAGGUAGCGAAAUUCCUUGUCGGGUAAGUUCCGACCUGCACGAAUGGCGUAAUGAUGGCCAGGCUGUCUCCACCCGAGACUCAGUGAAAUUGAACUCGCUGUGAAGAUGCAGUGUACCCGCGGCAAGACGGAAAGACCCCGUGAACCUUUACUAUAGCUUGACACUGAACAUUGAGCCUUGAUGUGUAGGAUAGGUGGGAGGCUUUGAAGUGUGGACGCCAGUCUGCAUGGAGCCGACCUUGAAAUACCACCCUUUAAUGUUUGAUGUUCUAACGUGGACCCGUAAUCCGGGUUGCGGACAGUGUCUGGUGGGUAGUUUGACUGGGGCGGUCUCCUCCUAAAGAGUAACGGAGGAGCACGAAGGUUGGCUAAUCCUGGUCGGACAUCAGGAGGUUAGUGCAAUGGCAUAAGCCAGCUUGACUGCGAGCGUGACGGCGCGAGCAGGUGCGAAAGCAGGUCAUAGUGAUCCGGUGGUUCUGAAUGGAAGGGCCAUCGCUCAACGGAUAAAAGGUACUCCGGGGAUAACAGGCUGAUACCGCCCAAGAGUUCAUAUCGACGGCGGUGUUUGGCACCUCGAUGUCGGCUCAUCACAUCCUGGGGCUGAAGUAGGUCCCAAGGGUAUGGCUGUUCGCCAUUUAAAGUGGUACGCGAGCUGGGUUUAGAACGUCGUGAGACAGUUCGGUCCCUAUCUGCCGUGGGCGCUGGAGAACUGAGGGGGGCUGCUCCUAGUACGAGAGGACCGGAGUGGACGCAUCACUGGUGUUCGGGUUGUCAUGCCAAUGGCACUGCCCGGUAGCUAAAUGCGGAAGAGAUAAGUGCUGAAAGCAUCUAAGCACGAAACUUGCCCCGAGAUGAGUUCUCCCUGACUCCUUGAGAGUCCUGAAGGAACGUUGAAGACGACGACGUUGAUAGGCCGGGUGUGUAAGCGCAGCGAUGCGUUGAGCUAACCGGUACUAAUGAACCGUGAGG